UUCCUCCGGUCUUUUAAGGCUGCGUCCGAUGACGAAUGGUUCUGUCCAUUUUCGAUGAUUCUGAGAGAUUUCGGACGGUCCCAUAGCCAUUUAACUGAGCUCCGUCUAAAUUCUAAAUUCCCCUUCUUUGAUUUGCCCCUCCUCGGGUAGAUGACGAUCUGCCUCCCAGCAUACCUUGCAAGACUAUCACAAAAAAUGGCCGUGCGUUUUACUGUAUUUAGCUGGAACAGUGAACCUCAACAUGGAGACAAACCAAAGCUGUUUUGAUGUUGGAUCGAAGUCACGUUCGUGGAAUUCUUUGCCUUUGUGUCUGGAGGAAUGAACAGUAUACAGGCAAUGGAAAAGCCAGGCAUCAAGGUGGAUGGACAACUUCAGCAGUGUAUCAAAAGGUGGUGUUUUGUUAUUCAGAUCACUGGGCUUGGAACUUAGUGAUUGCCUUAUCAUUUGAUCAUCUCUGACGGAUUGACUGAAAACAUGAACCAUGUUAUUGUGCAGAGUAGACAAGAGAAUUUACAUACAAAGAUCUAUUUUUCUUUGAAGACUGCAUUCAUGAGGGAAUUGUUGGUGAAGUCAAAGUGGAUUGAAAGUUUCAAGCUAUUAGAGUUGGUGUAAAGAUCACAGUAUCGAGAACUUCAAGAUAGUUUUGCACCAAGGAACAUAGAUGUUAGUUUCCAGCCAGGAAGUUCAGAAAAGAAGGAGUUGUCAAUUUAAUCCGUUAGAUUUAAUGUUAUGAUCUGUACUUGUUUUGCUCAGGUUCCACGAUUACAUGUAUUUCAGGUCCCCAAGAUUUGGAUUCAGCGAGCUACAUGUUUUCCGGAAAUCUUGUCGCACAAUUUAAAUUAACAAACUUACCGAAUUUGUUUCGGAUAUUGAAAGAAAACGUCACAGUAACUUGCAAGUCGGCACUAGCAUCCUUCCUGAACAGCUCUCAGACUGAGUACUAGAUUUUACCUGGAUAUCAAGAAAUAAUAGUGUAGACGAAAAGUGAGCCAAAACUCAACAUAAAUAGUGGCACGAUUACCAGCUGUAAGAAAAUAUCUAUUAACCGUGAACUGCAAAAUGCCCAAUAUUGAAACAAAAAUGCUUCCUUUUACCUACCAUUUUAGUAAAGUUUUCUAUAUCUUAAAAACGGUUAUAUAUCACGUAUGUCUCUUAACCACAUUGAGGAAGAUUAAAAGUCAGAUCUCUCCUAAAGCAGCUUAUUCAUCAAGAGCAAACUUUUAGAAGAGUCAGAAGGCCGCCAUCUUCAAUUAAAAUCAUAACCCCGAUCAAUCUUUUUUCCAAAACCACCAAAAAAUUAUGACAUUUGUCAGUAAUGGAAUAUUUAGGUACUGCUGGUAUGGCAAGCGUUAUUAACAUCAUGGAAAAAUAACAAUAUCCCCUCUAAGAACUCCACAGUAUCUUUAACAAAACGCCGUGAGUCGAUUACCGUUUCUUGAAAAAUUAGCCUACAAUUUUUUGGAAAUCUGUUUUAGUGUUACCCUUUGCUAUCGUUUUUCCUAACUGGUUUGUAUUUAUCUCUUCGAGUCAGUAAUACGUUUGGUGUCUAAGCUAUUCAGGUGAAAUACUGUAGUUCUGUACAAAUUAGAGACAAUUUUGUGGGCCGCAGAAACACGAUUCAAAAUACCACA